GAAAUGCGAUAAGUAGUGUGAAUUGCAGAAUUCAGUGAAUCAUCGAAUCUUUGAACGCACAUUGCGCCCCUUGGUAUUCCAUGGGGCAUGCCUGUUCGAGCGUCAUUUGUACCCUCAAGCUCUGCUUGGUGUUGGGUGUUUGUCACGUCUCCGCGCGUGGACUCGCCCCAAAGUGAUUGGCAGCCGGCGUACUGGUCCCGGAGCGCAGCACAUGUCGCGCAAACGAGUGCCUUGGUACGGCGGCGUCCAUAAGCCCCUCUCUCACGCUCUUGACCUCGGAUCAGGUAGGGAUACCCGCUGAACUUAAGC
rnacentral:misc_RNA from 1 species